UUACAGCCUUGCUGAAUUAUUCACCCUUGUCUUUUGCGUACUUCUUGUUUCCUUGGUGGGUUCGCCCACCACUAGGACAAACAUAAACCUUUUGUAAUUGCAAUCAGCGUCAGUAACAAAUUAAUAAUUACAACUUUCAACAACGGAUCUCUUGGUUCUGGCAUCGAUGAAGAACGCAGCGAAAUGCGAUAAGUAGUGUGAAUUGCAGAAUUCAGUGAAUCAUCGAAUCUUUGAACGCACAUUGCGCCCUUUGGUAUUCCAAAGGGCAUGCCUGUUCGAGCGUCAUUUGUACCCUCAAGCUUUGCUUGGUGUUGGGCGUCUUGUCUCUAGCUUUGCUGGAGACUCGCCUUAAAGUAAUUGGCAGCCGGCCUACUGGUUUCGGAGCGCAGCACAAGUCGCACUCUCUAUCAGCAAAGGUCUAGCAUCCAUUAAGCCU
rnacentral:rRNA from 1 species